rnacentral:tRNA from 1 species
UGCGGGCGGGCCGGAGCUCGGCCGGGUCUCAUAAGCCUGGCUGCUCAGUUCGACUCUGAGGCCCGCAAC